AUUGAACGCUGGCGACAUGCCUUACACAUGCAAGUCGAACGGCAGCACGGGUGCUUGCACCUGGUGGCGAGUGGCGAACGGGUGAGUAAUACAUCGGAACAUGUCCUGUAGUGGGGGAUAGCCCGGCGAAAGCCGGAUUAAUACCGCAUACGAUCUACGGAUGAAAGCGGGGGACCUUCGGGCCUCGCGCUAUAGGGUUGGCCGAUGGCUGAUUAGCUAGUUGGUGGGGUAAAGGCCUACCAAGGCGACGAUCAGUAGCUGGUCUGAGAGGACGACCAGCCAUACUGGGACUGAGACACGGCCCAGACUCCUACGGGAGGCAGCAGUGGGGAAUUUUGGACAAUGGGCGAAAGCCUGAUCCAGCAAUGCCGCGUGUGUGAAGAAGGCCUUCGGGUUGUAAAGCACUUUUGUCCGGAAAGAAAUCCUUGGCCCUAAUACGGUCGGGGGAUGACGGUACCGGAAGAAUAAGCACCGGCUAACUACGUG
rnacentral:rRNA from 1 species